rnacentral:tRNA from 1 species
GCCGCCGUGGCUCAGUCGGUAGAGCGACAGCCUGUUAAGUUGUAGCUCGUGACACUCCGUGACGGGCGACUUGUGGUCAGAGGUUCGAGGUACUGCUCGACUUCCGAGUGGUCCGAGAGCCCUCUCGGCGGCGCCA